rnacentral:rRNA from 1 species
AUUGAACGCUAGCGGCAUGCUUUACACAUGCAAGUCGAACGGUAACAGGUUAAGCUGACGAGUGGCGAACGGGUGAGUAAUGCAUCGGAACGUGCCCGAUCGUGGGGGAUAACGCAGCGAAAGCUGCGCUAAUACCGCAUACGAUCCGAGGAUGAAAGCGGGGGACCGUAAGGCCUCGCGCGAUCGGAGCGGCCGAUGUCAGAUUAGGUAGUUGGUGGGGUAAAGGCCCACCAAGCCGACGAUCUGUAGCUGGUGUGAGAGGACGACCAGCCACACUGGGACUGAGACACGGCCCAGACUCCUACGGGAGGCAGCAGUGGGGAAUUUUGGACAAUGGGCGAAAGCCUGAUCCAGCAAUGCCGCGUGCAGGAAGAAGGCCUUCGGGUUGUAAACUGCUUUUGUACGGAGCGAAAAGGUCCUUUCUAAUACAAGGGGCUCAUGACGGUACCGUAAGAAUAAGCACCGGCUAACUACGUGCCAGCCGCCGCCGUAA